UACGUAGGGUGCGAGCGUUGUCCGGAAUUAUUGGGCGUAAAGGGCUCGUAGGCGGUUUGUCGCGUCGGGAGUGAAAACCAGGUGCUUAACACCUGGCUUGCUUUCGAUACGGGCAGACUAGAGGUAUUCAGGGGAGAACGGAAUUCCUGGUGUAGCGGUGAAAUGCGUAGAUAUCUGGAGGAACACCGGUGGCGAAGGCGGCAUCCUGGACCAUGACUGACGCUGAGGAGCGAAAGCCAGGGGAGCAAACGGG
rnacentral:rRNA from 1 species